rnacentral:misc_RNA from 1 species
AAGUCGUAACAAGGUUUCCGUAGGUGAACCUGCGGAAGGAUCAUUAUUGAGAAAUCGAAGCAGGCUGCUGCUGGCCUCUCUUGCAAAGGAGGGGCAUGUGCGCGCCUGUUCUCGUUCCACUCACACCUGUGCACUGCUCGGGGGCUGGCGAAAGCCUGCCUCUGUUUACACAAACACUUGUAUGUAACAGAAUGUUUCUUUUUGCGCAAUGCAAAUCUUUAACAACUUUCAACAACGGAUCUCUUGGCUCUC